rnacentral:lncRNA from 1 species
CGGUUGCGGAUUUCUUCCUUAACGAAAUCGAAGAUAUCUUCCCAGCGCCGCGAGCACCGUGAAUGCGUGCUGUCUCUCCUCUUUUCUUGACGACCUGAAGAGGGAGAUGGUGAUCGGGUCUGAGAAAUAUUUGCAGAGGGAGUACGGACACCAAAUCAGCCGACAAAAAAUCUCGACUGUUUUGCUUUUGAUAGAAAGACCCGGGGUUUCCGAAGUUCCCAUCAAGGCGAGGCGCCGUGCUUCAAAAAGAAAGAAACCGAACUUCGUUACCGGUCUCUGAUAGGAUUGGUGAACGUGUCGCCUUACGUUCCGUGAAAGAAAAACGUUUGUGAUUUGGCUUGACAUACAAGUGUCUCGUAUAUUUCUCGUAUACUCGCAUGCAUCGUUCCUACCCGGCUCAGUGACUGCACUCAUCACAACACGAGCGAACAUAUGCUACCUACCCGAGAUCUGGCGACUCCAGGUGGAUUGUCUCCACAGAAACUACGGCCUGAUUGAGGCGACUCUUCAACCCCUUCAGGAACUAGGCACUCCACAGCUUGAAGGAAGUAUGACAUGAGCAUUUCAAAUCGCUGAGUCUGCAUGUCUGCUAGACCCCCUCGACGAUCAUCUCGCGUAGCGUUCGCUCCUUCAUCUCUCUGCCCUCGUGAGGUUGAUCGAGAAGGACGGCUCAAUGACCGCUCUUGGCGCCUCGAUUUAUUUCCUGGCCAGGGGGUCGGAGGCGGGGAAGGCCGCAAUGACUGCGCACCGCUGCUCCUCGGUUUCUCCUUUCCCGACCCCUGUUGGCCAGCAGCUGAGUCUGGGCGAGUACCGUCCCCUACACAGAAAUAGAGACGACUGACGAAGAAGGUGAGGCAGCCGAAGCCACGUGUAUGGAAACAGCCACAUCGACAGGCGAGUCCUUGAAAUUGUAAGCCGCGCCUCGCGUGCAAACCGAGAGCGUGUUCAUCUGAUUCUGGCCGCAGAGCGCCCUGCACGUAGACAGUCGCGUCUUCUCUCUUGGAAAAGAAUAAUAGGUGGACUGGAAUCGAAGUGAGGCAGCACAUGAAAAGGCUGGGGGAAGACUUCUAGAGAAGAGAGCAGAACACCAACUCUUUAUUUCGCCCGCUAGUGAAGAAUAUAUCGAAUCAGACAGGACAGCAGGGGGCUCGUGAUGAAGAUAUGCGAAGGACAAGAGUCGCGCGAAUGGGUUCAGACAAUUCGCACUCUUUCAAACCGAUCCACGCGCGAAUAGCAAAGAAACAUCAGACUUCUAUCUCCGAAGCCCCAUGCACUGGAGACGCUCCCAAUGUCCGUGCAGAUGUGACUACAGGCCUCGCGGAUCGGACGUCUUUUCAGACUCCCAGGUUGACAGAAAAGAACGAAGGACACAGCGAUGCUUAUAACCACUCUGUGAGGCUCUCCGUGCAGAAACGAAGCUGAAAAAAACGCAGAGAUUACUACCUUUUCGAUGGCGACUUGGAGGGCGGGUUGGUUUCGGUGUGCGUGGUAAUAACUCCUGGAGGAUAUGGAGGCGCAGUCGCUUCCAAGUGGCGAGCUUUAGUUCCCUGGUGUCCAUUUUGAUUUUUUUCAACAAGUCCUGAGUCUCUUCUGUCCUUGGUAGGAGAAGACGUUCGUAAAUUGCCGUGUCAUUGCGAAUCAGGUGCUCCAGGAGCACAAUAAUCGGCAGAAGAUCAUACAAGACAGCUGAAGGCGGAUCCGGUUGGCCCAGUAUUGACUGCAACUUCUGCAUUGACGCUGUCGUUUGGAUAUCUUGCACUUCUGAAUCGAAGGGUUCGUCGUCGGUGAUCAAUGCUGAGACAGCAGCCAUUUCAGAGAAGCUGCGAACUUACUUUACUGUCGCUUCAUGUUCAAAGGAGUUUGGUUGAUGAAGUGCUUCGGUAAGCUGCUGCGAUGCAUUCAAUAGCGGUGUAGCCGCGAGUGCCGGCUCCGCCGUGCCAGCAGCCAUGUAGGCUUUGGUGAAUACUUUCGCCAACACGGGAGAUCGCAGACUUUUUUUGGAAGGUCUGCUUUCUCCUGCGUGGGUGCAGCAUGCGUGGAACUCAUGUUUGGCGGAUUAUGCACACCACUGGCCAUAUCCUUUGAACUACUUUGUCUGGGUUAACAAGAUCAUAAUGAGUAUCGUAUGCACUAUCUAUGCCCACUUCAUGCAUAUAUACAUGUUUAGGAGCUUAGGACCGUCCACCGAACGUUGAACUAAUGGCUGUAGUUAUGUCUAUACAGCUAUUUAUAACGAACUACCUUGCUGAUGUAGAGAAACGAAAAGCAACCUGAU